rnacentral:rRNA from 1 species
GACAGAGGGGGCAAGCGUUGCUCGGAAUUACUGGGCGUAAAGGGCGCGUAGGCGGAAUGGCAAGUCGGUCGUGAAAUCCUUCGGCUCAACCGAAGAACGUCGAUCGAAACUGCUGUUCUUGAGGAUUACAGAGGAGACUGGAAUUCCCGGUGUAGCGGUGAAAUGUGUAGAGAUCGGGAGGAACACCGGUGGCGAAGGCGGGUCUCUGGGCAAUUCCUGACGCUGAGGCGCGAAAGCGUGGGGAGCAAACGGG